GGAUCCCUUUAAGUACCAAAUUAUUUCUUGAACACCAAAUUGACCAAACAGUGGUCCCUAAAAAUAAAGCUAAUUUGUUCUUCUUCUUUUUCUUUCCCUCCCCGUACCUGUACUGUACCAGCUGUGCAAAAGGUUUCAAAAUGAUCCACCCCACAACAAUCAUCCAAACCUAACCACAUGAAAAUACUCCUCAAAUUUUGAUUUUUGUCUAUAAAUUUUAAUUUUUUUUAGUGUCCAAGGGUGUCGUUGAUAAAAAGAAGGAAAAUAAAGCAACUAAAAAAUUGGCACUUGGUAGAAACUAGUAUUCAACAACUUGAGCUCCACAUGGGCCUCAAAACCACCGUUGGCGGUGAAGUACCGGUUCGAGCCCGGUUCGUUGGAUGAACCGGGUGGUCUGAAGAGUCUUUGCUCCUCUUUGGAACGACUUUUGGCUUUGGAGAAGAAGCUCUAUGAUGAAGUCAAGUCUAAAGAAGGUGUGAAGAUUGAACAUGAAAAGAAAUUGUCAGCCCUGCAGAGUCAAGAAUACAAAGGAGACGAUGAAGCCAAGUUAUUCAAAACCAAGACUUCUAUAAAUAAGCUGCAGUCACUAAUUGUUGUUACAUCACAAGCUGUGUCUACCACCUCGACCGCUAUUGUUGGCCUUAGAGACUCCAUUCUUGUUCCUCAGCUUGUUGAGCUUUGUCAUGGGUAAGUACUCCUCUUGUGCGAUUGUUUUACUGUUAUGUUUAAUAUUUGGUACUGAUAAAUAAUUAAGUUCCCGUAUAAGUAUAAUAGGAUCAGUGGCUUGUUUCGAUUGACUUAUUUAAACUUAUCUAUUGUUAUAAGCACUUGUAAGAGCGCAAGACUCGUUAAGAGAGUUUAUGAAAAGAACGUAGGCCAUGUCCAUAAAAUCUUCAAUAUAGCUUAUGAAAACAACUUAUACCAGCUUAGCUUAUAUGAAAACAACUGAUGCUAGUUUAUUUGAAAAUAGCUUGACUUCAUUUUAUCUUUUGUUACAUAAAUAACUUAUGCAUAAGGACUUCUAAGAUAAGCGCUUAAUUAAGUUGUUCAUCCAAACGGGUCCUAGCUUAUAUAGAAGCCCACUAAACAACCAUCCCUACUACUUAAAAUGAAUGAACUUUAAUAUAUUCAUGGGGCCUAAAACUUUCAAUAUAAAAGAAAUCCUAUCAAUUUGAUCUUGUUGUGUCCCUUUAUGUGCUAAAAGAAAUCCUAUCAAUUUGAUCUUGUUGUGUCCCUUAAUGUAUUAAAUGUGAUUUUGAGACUUCAUUAGUUAUGUUUCCAUUAUUUAGAAUCAUACUAUUGCUUGCUUUCGAUAUUUAUGCCCGAAUUCGUGUAAAGGAUGGUGGAAUGUGAUGAUUUCAAGGACUUAAAUUCAAUAUACUCUAAAUAAAGGUGAUAAUAUUUUCAAAUUUUUUGCCCUCACUUAUUUCGUGUGAAAGAAAAUUUUGUGGUAGUUGAAAACAUUAUUUUGGUUGUGUAUGUUUUGUAGGUGUUUUAUAGAUGAAACUUUGAGAUAUAAAAGAUGUAUCAAUUUGUGGGAGAGAGAAGUUAGAAGAUAAAUGAAAAGUUAUUAUUUAUGGUUAUGUUAUUUUUUUUUUUAGGUAUAAAUUUUGAAGUAUCACCAUUUUUUUAUUUAAAAAUUGUGUUAAAUUAUGUUUUUUAAUUAUGUUUAUAUUUUUUAGAUAAAAUAUUGAGAAAAAAAUUAUUCUUUAUAAUCUCUUCUUAAUUUAAUUGUUUUUAUCUAAUUCUUAGUUAUGCCUUAUUUGUGUAGUACCAUAUUUGAAGUAUAAAAAAAACUAAUCCACUCAUUAAACCUUAUGUUAGUUUUUUUAAAAUUUAUUUUAUUUUUUAUCUCUAAUAUUAAUUAUAUAUCAAAUCUUAGUACUUUUCUUACUUUAAGGAAUAUUUUUAAGAGCAACAUAUAAUAGUAAAUCCAAAUCAUGUACAAUAUUUUCAUAUAAAUAAUAUUUGACUCUCUUCAAAUGGGCUAUUAAAACUCAGACAUACAUUUAGAGUUCUAAAAUAUUUUUAUUAUUAAUAGAUCAAAUUUUAAAAAUUUAAAUAAAAAUUUAUAUACAAUUAUAGUUCUAAAUUAUCUUUUAUCAUUAGAUCAAAUUUUAAAUAUUUAAUUUAAUAUUCAUAUAAAACAAUAUUAAACUAUUUUUUAAAUAAAUAAUAAUUUUUUAUAAGUGUUGUCGCGUGCAUUGCACGGGUAGACGACUAAUUAAAUGUAAAAUAAUUUAUGUUUUAAUACGUCAUUAAUAAUAAAUUGAUAAAAAUUUGAUUAUAAAACUAUGUUUUACAAUGAAGAUAAAUAUUACACCCUUUAUUAUAGCUUUUGACUACUUUUUGUUAUUUAUUUAUUAAAAUUAACAAUUUAUUUACACUAAUUUAUAAAUAAAUGACGUUAAAAAUUAAAUUAUAAGUUAAUACUUUAUAAAAAUUUAACACAAUUAACAAUAUUAGCUGAGUUAUUUUCCCACAAUUUUUAACUACUUUUAAAGUGAAACUGAAUUUACAAUAGAUCAAUUUUAAUCACAUAUGCUUUUAUCUCUAGAUUGGAUGAUAUUUUUUUUUUGUCUCCAAGAAAUAUUGUAAACAAACUUAUACAAAUAUUCACUUUAGAAAAAAAAAAAGAAAAAAUAGAAAGAAGUUUAUUUUAAAAUAAUUUUAUUCAUAAAUAUUAAAAAGGUUAACUUGAUAGAAUAAAAAUAUUAUUUUCUAAAAAUAAGUAGGGUUUUUAAUUUUGAAUAAUAAAAUUAAUGAUUAUAACUAAUUUAUCUUUCACUUAGGUCUAUUAACUUUUUAAUUAAAUUGAACUUAGCAAUCAAAUCACUCUUUUCCUUAGAGAAAUGUGUGGCAUCUUGCGUAUCUGAAUUUUAAGAGAGAAAAAGAAGGCACAUCUUGCCGUUCUAUUAAGACGGUUAAAGGAUCGCGGUCACUAUUCUGGCACUGCCGGAAUCGUUAUCGACUCUUCUCCUCUAUCAAGUAGCAUCUCCGAUUCCGCGGGAAUCGCGGAAUCUUCUUCUCUUCCACCUUCUUAAUUCUCCAAUUCAUCUCCUCCUUUUGUAUUCCACCAAGAAGACAACAUCGUGUCCCUCUUUAAGUCUGUGUACCAAGGUUUAAUUCUUCAUCGUCUUCUUGAUUUCUUUUUCUUGUUUUUUGGUUUUUGAUGUUUUAAAACGCAAUUGCAUAAUGAAAUUGAAUGUUUGAUUUUUGAUGUUUGAUGUUAGGUUUUUGGUUUUUAAUUUUUGAAAUUGAAUGUAAACAGAGGUCUAUGAUAUUGAACUGAAUUUGAAUUUUGAUUUUUAAUUAAAGUCUUCAUAGUCGUCUUGAUUUUUAGUUUUUGAUGUUUAAAAUUGAAUGUAAACAGAAUUUGAUGGAAUUUAAUUGAAUUGAAUUUAAAGGAUAGUUUUAAUACUCAUGCUGGACUUGCGCACACGCGUUGGGCUACACAUGAUGAGCCUGCCCGGCGAAACAGCCAUCCCCAGGCCUCAGGCCUGCAAAUGAAUUUUUAGUUGUUAUGAAUGGAGUCAUAACAAAUUAUGAGUAGUGGUGGUGGAAAUGUUGAAUUAGGUGGAAGUGGAACUUCAAGAAAACUAACAUUGGCUAAUGAUUAAGAAGAUGUUUCAUUUGGGGCAGAGUUUGGUGAUGAUACUCAAGAUACUGAUGAAGAAGACGACAAUGAUGAUUUUACUAGAGCUUUCUAUGUUUGAAGCCAUUAACAUAUGUGUUAUGUUUUUUUUCUAUAUGUAGUAGCCAAUUGACAAGAUACUUUAAGUCUUCAACUACAUACUUUAUUUUUUAUGUUAUUGUCUUUUUGUUUUCUAACAAAUUUGUUAUGAAGUAUGACAUUUAAGUUUUAAUGUUAAUAGGUGUUCUAUUAUACAUAUUUGUGUCAUAUAUGAGGAAUUUACAAGUUUAAAAAUAUAGGAGUAUCAUAUAUGUGUCACUUACAUGUUUUUUUAAUUAAUUUGAAUUUUGCAUAGACUCGUACGAGUUUACGAGUCGAGUCUGCGAGUCGCGUCUACGGACCCUUUACGAGUCUGAGUAGACUCGCGAGUUUGACAACCUUGGUCGGUAGUGCUUUGGCAAGAAACAUACCAUGUUAUUAAUUGCAAGAAAUAUAUAUGGAUGUUUUAAAAGAACCAAAGACAACAAAAUAUUAAUAAAAAUGGUAUAUUGUAAUAACGUUUUAAAAUGCAACAUAAUACUAAUAAAUGUAAAAAAAUAAUAACCUUCACAAAAUGGUUAAUGAACAUAUGCGCUAUUA